GCCCCCGUAGCCCAAUUGGAAGAGGCACUCGGCUAAGAACCGGGUCGUUGCUGGUUCGAAUCCAGUCGGGGGCA
rnacentral:tRNA from 2 species